AGGUGCGUUUAUGUGAUACACGUAACAAGAACGGGACAGUUGGGUUUAGGAAAGGAGGAAUGGGACAGCUGGGUUUAAGAAAAGAUGAACGGGACAGUUGGGUUUAGGAAAGGAGGAAUGGGACAGCUGGGUUUAAGAAAAGAUGAACGGGACAGUUGGGUUUAGGAAAGGAGGAAUGGGACAGCUGGGUUUAAGAAAAGAUGAACGGGACAGUUGGGUUUAGGAAAGGAGGAACGGGACAGUUGGGUUUAGGACAGGAGGAACAGGACAGUUGGGUUUAGGAAAAGAAGUACGGGACAGUUGGGUUUAGGAAAAGAGGAACAGGACAGAACGGAACAGUUGGGUUUAAGAAAGGAGGAACGGAACAGUUGGGUUUAGGAAAAGAAGAACGGGAGAGUUGGGUUUAGGAAAAGAGGAACAGGACAGUUGGGUUUAGGAAAAGAAGAACAGGACAGUUGGGUUUAGGAAAAGAGGAACGGGACAGUUGGGUUUAGGACAGGAGGAACGGGACAGUUGGGUUUAGGAAAAGAAGAAUGGGACAGUUGGGUUUAGGACAGGAGGAACGGGACAGUUGGGUUUAGGAAAAGAAGAACGGAACAGUUGGCUUUAGGAAAAGAAGAACGGGACAGUUGGGUUUAGGAAAAGAAGAACAGGACAGUUGGGUUUAGGAAAAGAGGAACCUGACAGUUGGGUUUAGGAAAAGAAGAACAGGACAGUUGGGUUUAGGAAAAGAGGAACCUGACAGUUGGGUUUAGGAAAAGAGGAACCUGACAGUUGGGUUUAGGAAAAGAGGAACCUGACAGUUGGGUUUAAGAAAGGAGGAAUGGAACAGUUGGGUUUAUGAAAAGAAGCACGGGACAGUUGGGUUUAGGAAAAGAGGAACCUGACAGUUUGGUUUAGGAAAA